rnacentral:lncRNA from 1 species
UGGUAUUUCUGGAUCCUUACCAAGGUAGUAAUGGUAUAUGCCUUCUCUCAAAGUAUGUGGUAUUUUUGGUAUAAUGCAUAGUGAUAUUGCCUUCUCUCUCACCCUACUCUAAUAAGGUUUUGAUAUCUGGAGCUCAUAGGUGGGAGACAGCUAAUACAUACUUACAAGACAUUUAUUGCAUAGUCAAACCAUGGAUCCAGAGAAACAAGUCAAUAAGUCAAAUCAAGAUGUGCAUGUGUGGCGGAUGAAUGGUGUAUGGUGAUGAUGGUGAAAGUCUAAUUCUAUUUUUGCUCUUUUAAGGGGAUACAUACCUUUCUUGCACUUUGAAGCUUUUUGAGGAGAAUGAGAUGCUCUAUAUUUUCUUUUUCUUUCCUCUCAGGUGGGUAUCUUGUACCCCUAAUUCUACUGUCGGACACUUGUCCAUUUUUACCUCUCGUCUCACUUUUCUUUUCUUCGAGGUUCCGAGCACUUGCCCCUUUUUAUUUCCUCGUAUUUAUUUUUUUAGAGAGCACUCAUCUCGUGA